AGUGAACGCUGGCGGUAGGCCUAACACAUGCAAGUCGAACGGCAGCACAGUAAGAGCUUGCUCUUACGGGUGGCGAGUGGCGGACGGGUGAGGAAUACAUCGGAAUCUACUUUUUCGUGGGGGAUAACGUAGGGAAACUUACGCGAAUACCGCAUACGACCUCCGGGUGAAAGCAGGGGAUCUUCGGACCUUGCGCGAUUGAAUGAGCCGAUGUCGGAUUAGCUAGUUGGCGGGGUAAAGGCCCACAAAGGCGACGAUCCGUAGCUGGUCUGAGAGGAUGAUCAGCCACACUGGAACUGAGACACGGUCCAGACUCCUACGGGAGGCAGCAGUGGGGAAUAUUGGACAAUGGGCGCAAGCCUGAUCCAGCCAUACCGCGUGGGUGAAGAAGGCCUUCGGGUUGUAAAGCCCUUUUGUUGGGAAAGAAAAGCAGCAGGUUAAUACCCCGCUGUUCUGACGGUACCCAAAGAAUAAGCACCGGCUAACUUCGUG
rnacentral:rRNA from 1 species